rnacentral:lncRNA from 1 species
AAGGCAAAUGCCAAAACAGACCUUUAGUCACACAGUGCGCUAAAGAAGGAGAUGACACCAGAGGGGGAGAGCCAGGCUGCACAGUAUCUUUGGAGUCCUGUCAAGAAACAUUAUUUUAAGUGAGCUCAGGUGAAAACCAGAGAAAGCUGCAAUGGUUACCAUGCAAGGGAAUGCAGCUUUCAUGAGGUCAUGACACCAGGGCCCUAAAGUGCAGGGCCUGUGAGGACAGAGUACGCCCAGGGCUGAGCAGACACCACUGCCUUGCAUAAGAAGGUGGAAGGACAGAGAAGAGGCCAGUCUUGGUGACAGGCAUGAGGUGGGGAGUUAGGCUCUUCGUCCUGCAUGGAGCUAGGGCUUCUCUAGGUGCUGAGGGUGGCUGAGGAAGUUGACCUGCUCUGUGUCUGCACUUGACCUGCAGGAGGUCUCUGGUUCCUGCCCCACAUGCCCUCCCUUCAUGGGUGAGAAGGCGGCUUUGGAUCCCCUGGCUGCCAGUGCUGGCAGCGUUAGUUCCUGUUCAGGUAGGUCUGUCCCCCUCCUCCUUCCUUGUGCUCUACUUCAUAAAGCCAGAUAAACUCCGGACAGCAUCAACAACUCUCCUUGGGAGUUUUCUUAGUCCCAGGCAGGAGCCUCGAUGAGGAAGCACGCUUUUGGUGUCGCCACUUUGCCCGGCGGUUCUUGAACCAGACCUGA